rnacentral:tRNA from 1 species
UCCGGGAUAGCGCAAGCGGUAGAGUUUGUAGCUGUUAACUACGGCGUUGUAGGUACUCUCCCUUGAAGGCUGCGCCUACAAGUCCUACUCCCGGAGCCA